GGUCCAGUCCGUCAUGCCAGAAAGGCAUGGAAGCACAAGCGUGCGGCAGAGGGUCUCAUUGCUCUACAGUUUGGAAACAGGAAACAAUGAAUGGCGGUAUUCAGCUCAUCUUCUCUUUCUUCAGUUCAAGACCCCAAGCUAUGGAAUGGUGCAGUCCACAGUUAGGAUUCUUAUCUGUAAAAUGUGGAUAAUUAAAAAAAAAAAUCUCACCAGCACAGUUUCUGAGAGGCCGAAAUGAGAUGUUUCAAGGUGAAUGAAGUAUGCAUUAGUUUAUUUUUGUGUGUAGCAAGGCUCUCCUUGUCGGAAAGCCAAUUUGAUUCAAUGAGAGCAAACGACGCGAUUCCUCUCCAAGACGAGCUUUGCUACCUAUGGGAUUCUAAGCAACACUUGACGGAACACAGAGUACGUGCUCAGCGGGAAAGGAGGAGUUAGUCAUUUUACAAAAUGCUUAAAAAUCACUUUAUUUUUAGAAGGUUCACUUUGGUCGCUGACAUCUUAAUGCACCGUAAUUUGAAGUGUUCGCAUGUUGAGCGAGCAGAGUAUAAGCUCUUCACGGCAGUGAGGAUAAUUCUCCUCAAAAGUGUUAUAAAUCAAUAUGCGAUGGAAGAAUGCGCAAGAAGCUCAGACUACUACUGUGUCUUAGCAAUAACAAGAAUGUUAAAAGAGAAGAAACAGAAAAGCGCUAAACAAAGUACUCAUUUUAAAUAAAUUCCAAACAAUGAAAUCCAUGAAAAUCAA